UUUCCGUAGGUGAACCUGCGGAAGGAUCAUUAAUGAGUUGUCAUGGGGUUCGAUGCUGGCAGCCAGUUUUUGGAUGCAUGUGCUUGCCCUAACAAUCAUCUUCUUCCAAACACCUGUGCACAUUUUUGAGGGAGUCUUGAGUUGGUUGCCGCUCUUGGGUGAUUUUCUCACAUUCCCUUAAAUCAUUAUACGCUAUUAACAAUGUUGAACGUGCUCUGUGCCGCAAGGCCAUUAAUAUAAUACAACUUUUAACAACGGAUCUCUUGGCUCUCGCAUCGAUGAAGAACGCAAC
rnacentral:misc_RNA from 1 species